rnacentral:rRNA from 1 species
GGUUGCUGCUAUGGGGAUCCGACUAAGCCAUGCAAGUCAAGGGACCCUUCGGGGGACCGGCAGACUGCUGAGUAACACGUCGAUAAUCUGCCCUCCGGUAGGGGACAGGCUUGGGAAACUGAGCGUAAUCCCCUAUAGGGGAUAAAGGCUGGAAUGCCUUAUCUCUAAAAGCUCCGGCGCCAGAGGAUGAGUCGGCGGCCGAUUAGGUUGUUGGCGGUGUAACGGACCACCAAGCCUCAGAUCGGUAAGGGCCUUGAGAGAGGGAGCCCUCAGAAGGACACUGAGAUACUGGUCCUAGCCCUACGGGGUGCAGCAGGCGCGAAACCUCCACAAUGCACGCAAGUGCGAUGGGGGGAUCCCCAGUGCUCAAGCUCUGCUUGGGCUUUUGCCAAACCUAAAUCGUUUGGCGAAUAAGGGGUGGGUAAGACCGGUGCCAGCCGCCGCGGUAACACCGGCGCCUCGAGUGGCAACCGCGUUUAUUGGGCCUAAAGCGUUCGUAGCCGGCCUGGUAAAUUUCCUGUGAAAUUGUCUUGCUUAACAAGACAGCGUGCAGGAAAGACUGCCAAGCUAGGGACCGGAAGGGGCCAGAGGUAUUCCAGGGGGAGCGGUAAAAUGCUAAAAUCCCUGGAGGACCACCUGUGGCGAAGGCGUCUGGCCAGUACGGAUCCGACGGUGAGGGACGAAAGCUGGGGGAGCAAACCGGAUUAGAUACCCGAGUAGUCCCAGCUGUAAACUCUGCGGGCUAGGCGUCGCAUAUUCUUCGUGAAUAUGCGGUGUCGUAGCGAAGGCGUUAAGCCCGCCGCCUGGGGAGUACGGUCGCAAGGCUG